rnacentral:lncRNA from 1 species
GGGCAUUCACCUGCAAAAUCAUGAAACUUAGGCAGCAAAUGUAUCAGUCCAGAGCUGAAAACGCAAUGAAUAUCAUCCUCAUUAAGUGAAGCUGGCUCCCUAGGAGCACUCUCAAAAAUGGGAGGAUGAGUCAUAUUGUUCUCAACAUAAAAGUCAACAGAAUAUGCAUGAGAAGCAACAUCAGAGUUAGAUGCAGAAGGAGAAUCAUAAUCAUAGACACAGGUAGCAGAAGCAGUAUUCACAAAAUCAAAAUAGGUAGACAUGUAGAAGGGGGGAGGGAAGAAUGCAAUGAAAAUAUGCAACUAAAGCUACCUAAAUGCAACACACAAUACACACAUACAAAAACAGAAAAUAACACAAAAAGGCAUCCUAAAGUUAGUGAGUGAAGGGCUAUCACUGGAUAGUACAAGAAAGGACACAUGAAGAAUAGUAAUGAAAUGGAUAGCAUUUAUGGAAAAGUAACAUUGACAUUGAAAACCGUAAGUCAUCCUUCAUUGCAAUUCAAUUCCAACCGAUGCCCAUCCAAUGCCUCAAUCUUCUCCAAAGCAAAUAAAUAAAACGAAAAAGGAAUGCACAAGAGAGGUCCCACCUGUUGGACUUGACUAUGCAUUCAAAGAAGAAAAUGAAAAUACAAAAGUGAGAGCUAAUAUAUAGCCUCCCUGCAAUGGACGUGACAACACCCUUCUAAUUUGAAUCAAUGCUUCCAAAUAAAAUCAUUUAGCGUCAACAUCUCUGACCCAAUGAGUGCAACUUGAAUUUCCUCAAAGUAUGCUCCUUUUUUUAAUUCAUCCACACUCCAAAUGCCAAGCCAUUUUUUCAAAGAAAAAAGAAAAAAAAAACGCUGCAGCCACCUCCUCCC